UUCUGCUGGUGGGAGGGAAACCAGGGACCCGAGCCCACUGGUGACGUUUCUUUCACGUGAUCAGAAGCCGACGUGUGCAGAAGUCCCUCUCCUCCAGGUACCAGCUCCCCAUUUCCGUGGAGAAAGAUUUCAGACUGAGGGACAGAGCGGCAACUGCCCUAGAGCCCUGCAGGUCUUCAGGUCUGUGGUUGUAGGCACCAACCCAGACAAGAGAGGAAAAGACCUGCAGGACCAGUGCAGGACAGGC
rnacentral:lncRNA from 1 species